rfam:Eubacterium sp. CAG:603 genomic scaffold, scf8
UGAAGUCUUCAGGGCAUGGUGAGAUUCCAUACCGGCGGUAAAGCCCGCGAGCUGAUACAUUUAUGUAGAAGCAUGAUUCGGUGAGACAAUUGUUAAUUCCGAAGCCGACAGUAAAGUCUGGAUGAGAGAAGAACUUA